CCCCCCAUCUCCAGCGGCAUGUCAUAUCUCUGAUAUUUUCAAUCCCAUCCCCUCAACUGAAAUCACUUUCCCAACUUCCUUACAAUUACCGACAAUAGACUCCCAAACCCUAAACCUGUUUCACCCAAAUUUUCUUUUUCAAAACCUAUUUUUCCAUCAAAUGUCAAUCAUAUGUACCAUCAUUAACCUAGAAAAUAGAUAGGGUGGCUUAGUCAGAGCACAAGAGAAAGGAAAAGACGUUAAUUAAAUUACUCUGCAAACAUCAACAACAACAACAAGCAAUUGAUGACAAUAGUUUGUCUUAGUCCGUAAAAAGAAAUGAUGAAUGAUUCUCUUUACAAAACUUGUCAACUUCAUCACCUUCCCUCCAUUGUUAGCAGCUUGAUGUGAAAUCUGAAACAAUUUUUGAAGACAUGGAGAUAAAUUUAGGUGGCGUUGUAAGGUGGAUGUGUACUUUCAAUUCUUAUUCAAUGGUAUAUUUUCUUAGCUUACCAAGUUAUUGGCGCCGCUGCUGGGGACUCGGUACCGGUGUGGUACCUGCAAUACUGAAGUACAAGCCAAAGAGGAGAAGGACAAAGGAACGAAGCAAGCUUGAUUAUUGUGCCUAAACCCGGUUCUGUACCGGAGGUAUUUUUGGUCAAUAAAAAUUUUUGAAAAAAAUUGGCUCG